CGUCCGCGCCCAGGUGGGCUGGCUUUGGAGCAAGGCCGCCGGCGAAAAACGGCGAGUAGCUGGCGAGUGCAAACCUUCCGCUUCUUUUGCUAACUUAAGUGCGUGUUCGAGUGUCUAAGUAUGUGCUUUGUCGAAAGCCUUUACGUGCACCAGCACACUUCACGGUCUUCACAGUCCUAUGAGUGCCAUUGUUUUCCCUAAGGACAUCCCUCCCCUGUUCACCGUGAUGCUGGUACAGCGGGGUCCAACCUCCCAUGAAAAGGAGCGGAUGGAAGAUCUUCACCGUCCAGAGUUCCUCCCAUUCCUGAACACAAGUUACUGGUCCAAGACAUAAAAGUAACACCAACAUGGUGAAUCUUAGCCCUUUCUUGGGCACUCAUUACGCCUCGUGACAGGGGAAAGCUUCCUUCUGAGAUAAAGAAGGGUACGGACUAUGUAACUCUGGAGCUAGCCAUUUCCACGCUCUGUUGAGUCUGUCAGAGAAGAUGCUCCAAAAAAAACAAAGUCAAGAGGUGUAAAGGGAUUCUUAUGGAAUCAUUUUAACAUUUUAUCUGGAUCCAGCCAUAUACUGAAGUCAGAUAUUCAGAAACCUCCAGUUAAAUAAGCCAAUAAAAUUCCCAUCUUAAACUAC